rnacentral:rRNA from 1 species
GAUGAACGCUGACAGAAUGCUUAACACAUGCAAGUCGAUUCAAUUUACCUUCGGGUAAUGAGGACGGCGGACGGGUGAGUAACGCUUAAGGAACUUACCUCUUGGUCUGGGACAACUGUUGGAAACGACAGCUAAUACCGGAUAUUAUGAUAUUCUCGCAUGGGAAACUUAUGAACGCUAUAUGCGCCAAGAGCGAGCCUUGCGUUCCAUUAGCUAGUAGGUGGGGUAACGGCCCGCCAAGGCGACGAUGGAUAGCCGACCUGAGAGGGGGAACGGCCACAAGGGGACUGAGACACGGCCCUUACUCCUACGGGAGGCAGCAGUGGGGAAUAUUGGACAAUGGGCCACAAGCCUGAUCCAGCAAUUCUGUGUGCACGAUGAAGGUCUUCGGAUUGUAAAGUGCUUUCAGUUGGGAAGAAGAAAGUGACGGUACCAACAGAAGAAGCGACGGCUAAAUACGUGCCAGCAGCCGCGGUAA